GAUGAACGCUGGCGGCGUGCCUAAUACAUGCGAGCCGAGCGAACAGACGAGGAGCUUGCUCCUCUGACGUUAGCGGCGGACGGGUGAGUAACACGUGGAUAACCUACCUAUAAGACUGGGAUAACUUCGGGAAACCGGAGCUAAUACCGGAUAAUAUAUUGAACCGCAUGGUUCAAUAGUGAAAGACGGUUUUGCUGUCACUUAUAGAUGGAUCCGCGCCGCAUUAGCUAGUUGGUAAGGUAACGGCUUACCAAGGCAACGAUGCGUAGCCGACCUGAGAGGGUGAUCGGCCACACUGGAACUGAGACACGGUCCAGACUCCUACGGGAGGCAGCAGUAGGGAAUCUUCCGCAAUGGGCGAAAGCCUGACGGAGCAACGCCGCGUGAGUGAUGAAGGUCUUCGGAUCGUAAAACUCUGUUAUUAGGGAAGAACAAAUGUGUAAGUAACUAUGCACGUCUUGACGGUACCUAAUCAGAAAGCCACGGCUAACUACGUG
rnacentral:rRNA from 1 species